UGUAACAAAUAAUUUUUAAAAUCGGGAAAGAUCCGGUAGUAUGUCAUAACCAUGGGCGUAAGGAGCUACAGAAAAGUUCUCAGAGAUUUUUUUUUCCCGUACAAAGUUUUUUUUGUUGACGCGAAAGACCGCUGGGUGAGCCAUAGUAAGUACGGGCAGCCCUGGAAGUAAUUCUAGCUUAACCUCCCGGAAGUGGUUCAGACGCGUUUUAAAGUCGGUGACACCAUAGCAACCAGGCCCCAAUAAGGAACAGCCACAAAGCCUUUCUCUGGGCCCGCCCACCGGCUGCUUAGGCUGGGGCUAACGUCCCAAAAGCCAACUCUGGUUGCAGUCGGGACAGUGGAGCACUGAGGAGGAAAAAUACAAAGCGAAGUUUUUAUUUGGCUUUUAGUGCCUGUGGGUCUCUAACUCGGAGAAGCCUGUGUAGAGAUCAACAGGUGCUUGCGAAUUGACAGGUAUCCCGUUAACGCCUCUGAACCCAGUAUUCGGCCCGGUGUAACUUCGGUGUUCACAAUGUACUUCUAUUUAUUUAAGAAACAUCAGUAGUCUUCUGUGCUAAGCUAUACUCUCACCAAAUAUUUAAAUGUAUGUUUUGAUCCUGUCAGAGAUGAGCAUAAAAUAUUAUUUACCAGAUCGACAGAUGGAUGGAUGGAUGGAUAGAUAAAUGUAAAACAACACAAUCCAACACCCUAAAAGUGACAAAGGACCAGGUGGGGAGGUGAGCACCUUUAAUCCCAGCACUCCCAGAGACAGGCAGAUCUCCGUGGGUUCAAGGGCAGCCUGGUCUGCACGUCGAAUUCAAGGGCAACCAGAUUGUCAUGUGAAGACCCUGUGUCAGGAAAAAAAAAAGAGCCAGUCUUGCUAUGCAACCAUGAAUGGACUUGGAUUUAUGUCAGUCCUCCUGCUGCAGCCUCUUGAUUACAAGGGCUGGGAGUCCAGGGGUAUACUGCCUUACCAGGAUUCAGAUUAUCUUAAAGCCUGCUAAAACACAUUCUUCUUUAAUGGGAGCUCAUUACCAUGAGAGACGGCGAACCACACAGGUUGAAAAGAAAAACAGCUUCAGGAACCUUGAUGAUGUCUGCUUCACUGUUGUCCCUUUAUCUACUAGGCUGGUGUCUGCAUCCCAGAACCACCCUGGCAGCUUUCAAACACUCCUGAUGCCUAAAACCUAACUCAGAAGAACGAAAACAAUAUAUGGGCAUACCGCCUGGAAUAAUGUUUUCAUCAUGCCCUAACUGUGUUUGAUCAUCUGGAAACCUAUUUAAAAAACCAACAACUUAAUCCCAGCACAGGAGGGGCAGAAACAAGAAGAUUGCAAAUUUGAGAUAGCCUGAACUACAAAUUGAGACUUUGUCUCAAAAACCCAAACCAGAGCCAGUGAGAUGGCUCAGAGGGUAAAAAUGCCUACUUCCAAGGCUAACAACCUGAGUUCGAUCCCUAGGAUCCACCAACACGGUAUAAGGAGAAAAUCAGUUCCUUGUCUUCUGACUUACUCAUACACACACACCCUAUAAUAAUACUAGUACUUAGUAAUUGAAAAAAAAAGAGUCACUCUAUUGAUAUAGGCCUGAAUUAUAGCUACUCAGAGUCUGAAGCAGGAAGAUCAAAAUGGUAAAGGGGUCUGCCAGGCAGAGUGGUACAUAUCUGUAAUCCCAGAAUUUGGGGGCUAUAGGGAGACUUCCAUAAAUUUGAAGCUAGCCUGAACUAUAUAACAAGACCCUGUCUCAAAGGAAAUUAUAUACACCUUCAUUCAUUUAAGGCUUGCCUGGGCUACAGAGUUGUUUAACCUCAUUUUGAGACUUUCUCAAAAUAAAAAGUGAAAAAACGAGGUAGAGCUACAUCUCGGCAAUGGAGUGCUGGCGUAGCACGUGCCACAGGCUCUAGGUUCAGUUUCCAGCAUACUGAGGCAGGCAGGUAGAUAGACAGAGAAAUGGAGGUUGAUGCCUGACUUCCACUCCCAGGCUUUUGGUUGCGACUGGUGUAGGGUACAACCUGAGCAUCAUGGCUAAAAACGCCAAAAUUUCCACGAUCCAGUUUGAUUCCGGGAUUGAAAAGAAAUCCAACUAGCUAACCCAGGCCCAUUUCUGUUUUAGUCCUUAAAAAUCUCCAUGCCUUUCUCAAUACAAAUUUCCCUGUUUGGUUUACAUCCUGUUUCUCCCGCUGAAGUCCUGCCACCCUUUCACCUAGAAUGCAAUGUAAAAUUUGCCCUCUGGUAAGGAGAAUGUCUGCAAUACUAGCUGGAGGCCAAGGUUCAUUUCCCGCUCCUGCAGGCCACUCACCCCCGGCUUAAGUGCUGGUGAGCCGGGAGGAAUGGGAAGCAGGAGGGAAAGAGAGCCGAGGCCCCAAGGGAAGAAACCUUUUUCUCCCAGCUUGCAGAAAGCCGCGGUGGCACGUGGACAAAAAAGUAUUAAUAACCUUUGUGAAGACAUACUUUACGAAGCUUCAUGAACCACAGCCAGAGCUGUCUGUUCCACAGAUGGCCAGCUUCUGCAUUUUGAAUGACAGCUUUUGAAGCUGGUACCGUUCUCAUCCCUAAAGCAGAAACCCCCAACUAGAGGGAAGAAGUCAUUCAAGUCUCUAGGCCAGAGGUCAAAAGCUGCCAUUCAUGUAUUGGUCAGCGACAAAAAAAAAAAAAAAAAAAAAAAAAAAAAAUCAUUGGGUGUUGCCUUCUUUUGCAGCGAAACACCAGUGUCAUCUGAAACAGAACUUUAGUGGUACGGGUUGGCCAUAGCUCUUCCACUCAGCCAGAUAUUUUUGUGAUCUAGAUGGUGUUAACUUCCUUCUUUGUAACUUGUGAAGCCAGAGGUAAAGCCACGCUUUUCUUUGGCUUCUAACAAAUCUGUUUCUAAACCAGGAGGGCUGACUUAACACACCUAUAGUCCUAGCAUUCAGGAGGCUGAGGCAGGAGAUCAAGGUCGGCCUGGGCUACAGAAAGAGCUCAAGGUCAACUUGAGCUACUACCUUGCCUCAAAAGAUGAAAAAGAAAAGAAAAAGACUUUAAUCAGUUAUUUUUUUCUUUUUUAAAGAUUUAUUUUUAUAUACAGUGUUCUGCCUGCAUAUGU